rnacentral:antisense_RNA from 1 species
CUUCAGCGAGCCGAGCCACAGCGGCCGGUCGGCCGCGUGCUCCUGGCCGUAGGUGGCCAGCAGCGCCUGGGCCUC